ensembl:lncRNA
AGCUUUUCAAACAGUUUUAACAGUUACUUUAGUCUGACAAAAGCCGAAUGACGAAUUAGCGCUUCCAGUCAGAGACUGAGGCUACGUCCACACGUACACGGGUAUUUUUGAAAACGGAGAUUUUCCGUUUUCGUUUUAAAAAUAAUCCCGUCCACACAUAAAGGCAGAAAUGAAGGAAAACGCUGCUAUGAACAUGCCAAAGCAGCAGGUGGCGCUAGAUUCCUAACCGUGCAGAAAUGUUGGCCAAUCAGAAGUCUAGAAGCCUCGGUGGGAAAAAGUAAACAAAGCUGGGGCAUAGAAGCAGAACCGAGUCGUAUGUGUGGACGGACAGUAACUGUGUGUAUAUGUAAGCAUUUAAACACUGCAGAGAGUAGAAUUAACAGUAUUGUAGAAAUUCAUUUCACCGAAACAAUAACGUGGCGCACAGUGUGACGCAUGCACCAGUUUAUUGUAUUUCCAGACUUGCUUUCGGCACAAUUUCCAGUGCACGCUACUCUGUUUUUUGUCAGACUUGAAAUAGCCGAAAUACCUUCACACUACGGAACUUCUAUGGCUCUUCCGUUCGACAAUCUCUCCGGCGUUGGAACCAUCAUCUGUUUUCUCUUCGGUCACGCUCGGUUGAUUUUUCUAGUCGGCACACUCAUUUCCUCCAUUACGCGCUGGCUGCUUCCCAAACAAACACACGUGCGGCUUGGCACUUGUGCUGUACGUAACAAGUCACGCGACGUGACGCUGCGGCUGUGAUUGGUUCGGCUCUGCGCUACUUAAUUUAGAUUGGCUGACCUUUUUUUUUUUUUUUUUUUUUUUAAGAGGACAAGAGCGGCGAGGUCUAUCGCGAUAGCUUAAUUUCUCUAUCGAGUAAAAGUUAUAUCGCGAUACAUAUCGUUAUCGUUCUAUCGCCCAGCUCUAAUUGUGAAAUAGUUCCACAGUUUAUUUGUACAGCACAUUCAAACACAACAGACACUGACCGGUAAGCUCAUCAACAAACAAGACUGACCAAUUAAAAC